AUGGAUUUUGACAUAUCGUAUAUAUCGAUAUAUUGUUUAUAUUCUGAUUCCGCCACUUUGCUUGUUUGCCUUCCCUGUGCUGUGCUCGCCCCCCACCUCCUUGCUUUUGUCCCCUCUCACCUCGCGUAUAGAGAACUAGUCAAAAAAAAAAAAAAAGACAACUGGCUCCAUUAUAUGGCGAACGGCAGGCAGAUGUCUACUGUAGGGCCCAAUGAAACGCGGACGGAAUUGCGGAAUCCAGUCAUAAAAAUGGAAUUUACAGUUUAACGCGGAAUGUCACGGAAUUGGUCACAUUUUUUUUUGCACUUACAUCAAAUCGCGAAAUGGACUAAUAUCUGCAAAUAUUAACCCGGAAAAGUCUAUUUAAAUAUGAAUCCUGCAUGUUCUGCGUGUCUGUGUCAACGAAUGGAGCAGAAGCGCGUCUUCAUUCAUUAAACACGGAAGCUCGCAUAACGCUCGCGCUGAUUACAUUGUCUUUUCUCUCUCUAAAUAAAGACGUGAACACAUGAGGAACAUCUCCAGAACUGCACUGAGAGUCACUUCAUGAGCAUCUGACCGUUUGAUUUGAGUAAGACUAGCUCAUAUCACAUCAUAGACUGUGGUAUCACAUACACAGAACUGUAAAGGUAAACCCGUCAAAAUAAAAGUAUUUGACAGAAAUCUAUUACUAUUGUACAGCAGAAUGUAGAUAGCCCACUACUACUACUAUUAAAAUGAAACGAACAUAAUUUUAUAAGGAAUAAUCACACAACAUUUCUCCCAUGUUUUAUUUUUAAUAGUAAAUCCCCUUUAAAUAAUUAAAAGAUAAAUUAAAUGAAUGUUUUAUGCCUUCAUUUGAUAAUCAGUAAAAUGUAAAUACACAGAAUUUCUGAAGGGAAAAAAACAUUUCACAUAAGGCUAUUUUAAGAAUUGUUUUUAUCUAAUUAAGUUGUUUUUAUGCAUUUAUGCACACAGAAUUAGGUAACAAUAAAACAUAUGGUGAAGAAAAAAAUAAAAUGUUUCAUAGGCCCCUUAACAUGUAAUAUUUGCCAUAUUUGUUUUUGCAGUAAUUUUUUGGGGGUUAUUUUUCCUGUAAAGAUAUCGAGAUAUAUAUCGUAUAUCGAGAUAUAGCAAAAUAUAUCGAGAUAUAUUUUUUGCUCCAUAUCGCCCAGCCCUAGUCUCUAUAGUGUGAUAUCUAGGUGAAAGAGUCUCUAUGUGCUGAGAAUUAACUGACCUCUGUGAUGGGAGGCAGCUAGCAGUCUGUCUGCUUCCUGACCUGGGCCCCAGUUAGUCAAGUAUAAACACUAAGACUAUUUGCCAUAUUUCUAGAGAGAAGAGUGGCGCCACCCCAGGAGGGAUGAAGACCAUCUCUUUUAAACAGGUCAGGUCUGCCCCAAAAGCUCGUCCAAUUGUAUAUGAAACCUAUGUUAUUCUGUGGGCACCACUUAGACAUCCAGCCAUUGAGUGAUGACAAUCUGCUAUGCAUCUCGUCACCACGGUAAGCAAGGAGGGGACCAGAGCAUAUUACAGCGUCUGACAUCGUGCUUGCAAGUUCACACACCUCUUUAAAGUUAUUUUUAGUGAUCUCCGACUGGCGAAGUCGAACAUCAUUAGCGCCGGCAUGAAUAACAAUCUUACUGUAUUUAUGUUUAACAUUAGCCAGCACUUUUAAAUUUGCCAAGUUGUCAGGCGCUCUGGCUCCCGGUAAACAUUUGACUAUGGUGGCUGGUGUCUCUAUAUUCACGUUCCGUACAAUAGAAUCACCAAUAACUAGAGCACUUUCAUCAGGUUUCUCAGUGGGUGCAUCACUGAAUGGGGAGAACCUGUUUAAUGUUUUGAUCGGAACAGAAGAGCGGUGUUUUGACCCACGACUACGCUGCCUCACCGUCACCCAGUUGCCCUGCUGCAGGGGCUCUGUUGCCGGAACCGGACAAUGUAUAGGAAUCCCUGAGCUAGACGCAUUCCAAAGCUGUAUCUAGAGCCCUAACAUUCUUACUGUUCUCAAUUAAAGUUUGGAUGCGUGUCUCUAAUUCUGAAAUCUUCUCUGUCAGCCUAACUAUUUCCCUGCAUUUAUCACAUGUGAAUCCCUCAUCAGAGACAGAGAUAGAUAAACUGUACAUGUGGCAAGAAGUGCAAAUAACGAUUGCAGGCGAAGCCAUUACUCACCGUGCUUGAGGAAAUAUUCUUACUGCGGUUGUUUGAUGAACUUGUGAAAAACUGCAGCGUGAGAGAGGAGAGGAGAGGAGAAAAGAGAACGCUAAUGACAAGCUAAUGAGUGCUAAUGCUAUGAUUAAGCUAUAUUUUACAACUUAAAAAAACAAACAAACAAACAGACAGUGAUAGUAAGAAAGAUUAUAGUAAAAAAAUAAAAUAAAAAUAAAAACAGCUACACGGAGCUACGAUUAACUACAGAAGGCCAACAGGAAGUAGAGAAAACACUGUCCAACAGCGACACCAACAGGCAGCCAAUAUCACUAGUUCACGCUUACAUAUAAUUAGCUGAGGUAUGGUAUGCAUAUCUGGCGUGCUGUCCGGGGAAUGGCUCCGAGCUCGGGAAUGGCCCGAACCUAGAGUACCCCC
rnacentral:lncRNA from 1 species